rnacentral:rRNA from 1 species
UACGAAGGUGGCAAGCGUUGUUCGGAUUUACUGGGCGUAAAGGGAGCGUAGGCGGUUAGGUAAGUCCUCCGGGAAAUCUUCAGGCUUAACCUGAAAAGGUCGGGGGGGACUGCCUGGCUAGAGGACGGGAGAGGAGCGCGGAAUUCCGCGUGUAGCAGUGAAAUGCGUAGAUAUGCGGAGGAACACCGAUGGCGAAGGCAAUCCCCUGGGCCUGCACUGACGCUCAUGCACGAAAGCGUGGGGAGCAAACAGG